rnacentral:rRNA from 1 species
CCCCAGACUCCUACGGGAGGCAGCAGUGGGGGAUAUUGCACAAUGGGGGAAACCCUGAUGCAGCGACGCCGCGUGUGGGAAGACGGUCUUCUGGAUUGUAAACCACUGUCCCCAGGGACGAAAAUGACGGUACCUGGGGAGGAAGCUCCGGCUAACUACGUGCCAGCAGCCGCGGUAAUACGUAGGGAGCAAGCGUUGUCCGGAAUUACUGGGUGUAAAGGGAGCGUAGGCGGCGGCGCAAGUCCGGAGUGAAAGCCCGCGGCCCAACCGUGGGACUGCUCUGGAAACUGCGUCGCUGGAGUACGGGAGGGGCAGGCGGAAUUCCUGGUGUAGCGGUGAAAUGCGUAGAUAUCAGGAGGAACACCGGCGGCGAAGGCGGCCUGCUGGACCGUGACUGACGUUGAGGCUCGAGAGCGUGGGGAGCAAACAGGAUUAGAUACCCCCGUACU